rnacentral:rRNA from 1 species
GACGUAGGGGGCAAGCGUUGUCCGGAAUCAUUGGGCGUAAAGAGCGUGUAGGCGGCCAGAAAAGUCCGCUGUGAAAACUCGAGGCUCAACUUCGAGCUGUCGGUGGAAACUUUCUGGCUAGAGUCCGGAAGAGGAGAAUGGAAUUCCUGGUGUAGCGGUGAAAUGCGCAGAUAUCAGGAAGAACACCCGUGGCGAAGGCGGUUCUCUGGGACGGUACUGACGCUGAGACGCGAAAGCGUGGGGAGCGAACAGG